rnacentral:rRNA from 1 species
GACGAACGCUGGCGGCGUGCUUAACACAUGCAAGUCGAACGGAAAGGCCCUGCUUUUGUGGGGUGCUCGAGUGGCGAACGGGUGAGUAACGCGUGAGUAACCUGCCCUUGACUUUGGGAUAACUUCAGGAAACUGGGGCUAAUACCGGAUAGGAGCUCCUGCUGCAUGGUGGGGGUUGGAAAGUUUCGGCGGUUGGGGAUGGACUCGCGGCUGAUCAGCUUGUUGGUGGGGUAGUGGCUUACCACGGCUUUGACGGGUAGCCGGCCUGAGAGGGUGACCGGCAACAUUGGGACUGAGAUGCGGCCCAGAAUCCUACGGGAGGCAGCAGUGGGGAAUAUUGCACAAUGGGCGGAAGCCUGAUGCAGCAACGCCGCGUGCGGGAUGACGGCCUUCGGGUUGUAAACCGCGUUCGCCUGUGACGAAGCGUGAGUGACGGUAAUGGGUAAAGAAGCACCGGCUAACUACGUG